rnacentral:rRNA from 1 species
GACAUAGGUGGCGAACGUUAUCCGGAAUUAUUGGGCGUAAAGAGUGCGUAGGUGGUUCAAUAAGUUACUGGUGGGAAAUCGGGGCUCAACCCCGUGGAAGUUAGUAAUACUAUUAAACUAGAGGGUCGGAGAGGUUAACGGAAUUCUAUGUGUAGCGGUAAAAUGCUUAAAUAUAUAGAGGAACACCAAACGGCGAAGGCAGUUAACUAUGCGAUUCCUGACGUUGAGGCACGAAAGCGUGGGGAGCAAGACGG